GUGAAUCAUCAAAUUUUUGAACGCAAACUGCACUCUCUUCGGAGAGUAUGCGUGUUUGAGGGUCAGCCUAUAAAAAUCGACAUCGUCGGUGUUUUGCGGUGGCGUUAGUUGGACAUUGGGUCAUCUUAAAUCAUUUUGAUUUAAGCGAAUUAAAAUUUUGAUUUGGUUUUAUGAAUGUUUUUAAGAUCUAUUUCUUUACAUGUUUAAGGUAUUGAUUUUUACUAGAUGUGACUAUCAUAUCGGACCGCGUGUAUAAUCUUU
rnacentral:misc_RNA from 1 species